rnacentral:rRNA from 1 species
GACGAACGCUGGCGGCGUGCUUAACAUAUGCAAGUCGAACGAUGAACUUGGAGCUUGCUCUGGGGGAUUAGUGGCGAACGGGUGAGUAACACGUGAGUAACCUGCCCUGGACUCUGGGAUAACUUCGAGAAAUCGGAGCUAAUACCGGAUAGGACCUUGCACCGCAUGGUGUGGGGUGGAAAGUUUUUCGGUUUGGGGUGGACUCGCGGCCUAUCAGCUUGUUGGUGAGGUAAUGGCUCACCAAGGCGUCGACGGGUAGCCGGCCUGAGAGGGUGACCGGCCACACUGGGACUGAGACACGGCCCAGACUCCUACGGGAGGCAGCAGUGGGGAAUAUUGCACAAUGGGCGCAAGCCUGAUGCAGCAACGCCGCGUGCGGGAUGACGGCCUUCGGGUUGUAAACCGCUUUUAGUAGGGAAGAAGCCUUCGGGUGACGGUACCUGCAGAAAAAGGACCGGCUAACUACGUGCCAGCCGCCGCGGUAAAAC